rnacentral:rRNA from 1 species
UACGGAGGGUGCAAGCGUUAUCCGGAUUCACUGGGGUUAAAGGGAGCGCAGGCGGACUGUUAAGUCAGUGGUGAAAGCCCUGGGCUCAACCCGGGAACUGCCAUUGAUACUAUCAGUCUUGAAUAUCGUUGAGGUUUGCGGAAUGGGUCAUGUAGCGGUGAAGUGCAUAGAUAUGACCCGGAACACCUAUUGCGAAGGCAGCUCACUACACGAAUAUUGACACUGAGGCACGAAAGCGUGGGGAGCAAACAGG